CCUACGGGAGGCAGCAGUGGGGAAUAUUGGACAAUGGGCGAAAGCCUGAUCCAGCCCGGCCGCGUGAGUGAUGAAGGCCUUACGGUUGUAAAGCUCUUUUACCAGGGAUGAUAAUGACAGUACCUGGAGAAUAAGCUCCGGCUAACUCCGUGCCAGCAGCCGCGGUAAUA
rnacentral:rRNA from 1 species